rnacentral:rRNA from 1 species
GGACUACACGGGUAUCUAAUCCUGUUCGCUCCCCACGCUUUCGCUCCUCAGCGUCAAUGUCGGCCCAGACCACCGCCUUCGCUGCUGGUGUUCUUCCUGAUAUCUGCGCAUUUCACCGCUACACCAGGAGUUCCGUGGUCCCCUACCGAAUUCAAGUCAUGGCAGUAUCGAGUGGCGGCUCCAGGUUGAGCCUGGAGGUUUCACACCCGACUUACCAAACCGCCUACGAGCUCUUUACGCCCAAUAAAUCCGGACAACGCUAGCCCCCUUCGUAUUACCGCGGCGGCUGGCAC